rnacentral:rRNA from 1 species
AUGCUAGAUGUUUGUGCUGAAAAUUUAAAUUUUCUUAGCCAUCCUUGUGAACUUUGCAAUGAACAUGGUCAUUUAAAUAUCCAAUGCAAAUUGUUUCAUGAUCGAAUCGUGUCCAAAAAUUGUGAUGACUUGAUUUCCCUUGCACAUCAUAAUGAACUUAGUUUGCUUCUAGGUUAUGAAGAAAUGAAAUGUAUAAUUAAGGAUAUUCCAGAAUUUUCCCUUGAUAAUGUUCUUGAUUUUGAUCUAGAGGAAAUUUAUAUGUAUUGUGCGGUGAAUUGCAUUGAAAUUCCCUAUAUUUCCAAUUACAUAAAGACAAGAAAACAAAUAGAAGAUGAAGAGAAUACUAAUGAAAGGGAAGAGACUUCCCAGUAUCCUCCUAUUAUUUCUUAUGAUGAAUCAGGUAACGAGGAGGAGCCUUCUAUUCAACCAGUCUCAUUAAUAAGGAGCUCCAGAAAGAGGAUUAAACCCACACAUGGUGUGGAGAAGAAAAAGAAAAUACGGAGAAGCAAAGUUUUGUGUUGUGAAGUUUUCAAGUUUUGGGUAAAGAUUCGAUGGACUAUGGAAUAA